CGGCCCGUAAACCCCUGUCAGUUUGCGAUCAACCGUUGUUGUUUAAGAGAUGACAAACCUGAUAGUAGCGAAAGAGGAAAGGGACGGCUAACUCUGUGC
rnacentral:rRNA from 1 species